CAACAACCUCUUGUAGAUGCUAUGCAUUACAAAAUUUAAGAUGUGAUCAAACUUUUAGAGGAACAUGGUGCAAAGCCUCCGAUGGCUCAUCACAUGCACGUUAAAAAUGCACGCGAAGUCCCCGAGUAUGAGAUCGAUCCCAAGGAGCUUGUUUUAUCUCAGAAAAUGAUAACCAAG